UACGUAGGGCGCAAGCGUUGUCCGGAAUUAUUGGGCGUAAAGAGCUCGUAGGCGGUUUGUCGCGUCUGCUGUGAAAUCCCCAGGCUCAACUUGGGGGCGUGCAGUGGGGUACGGGGCAGACUUGAGUACUGCAGGGGAGACUGGAAUUCCCGGUGUAGCGGUGAAAUGUGUAGAGAUCGGGAGGAACACCAGUGGCGAAGGCGGCCCGCUGGGCAGUGGCUGACGCUGAAGCGCGGACAGCGUGGGGAGCAAA
rnacentral:rRNA from 1 species